UUAGAUACCCCGGUAGUCCUGGCCGUAAACGAUGGGUACUAGGUGUAGGAGGUAUCGACCCCUUCUGUGCCGGAGUUAACGCAAUAAGUACCCCGCCUGGGGAGUACGACCGCAAGGUUGAAACUCAAAGGAAUUGACGGGGGCCCGCACAAGCGGUGGAGUAUGUGGUUUAAUUCGACGCAACGCGAAGAACCUUACCAGGUCUUGACAUUGAUGGACAGAACCAGAGAUGGUUCCUCUUCUUCGGAAGCCAGAAAACAGGUGGUGCACGGUUGUCGUCAGCUCGUGUCGUGAGAUGUUGGGUUAAGUCCCGCAACGAGCGCAACCCCUAUCUUAUGUUGCCAGCACUUUGGGUGGGGACUCAUGAGAGACUGCCGCAGACAAUGCGGAGGAAGGCGGGGAUGACGUCAAAUCAUCAUGCCCCUUAUGAUCUGGGCUACACACGUACUACAAUGGGAGUUAAUAGACGGAAGCGAGAUCGCGAGAUGGAGCAAACCCGAGAAACACUCUCUCAGUUCGGAUCGUAGGCUGCAACUCGCCUACGUGAAGUCGGAAUCGCUAGUAAUCGCAGGUCAGCAUACUGCGGUGAAUACGUUCCCGGGCCUUGUACACACCGCCCGUCACACCACGAAAGUCGGAAGUGCCCAAAGCCGGUGGGGUAACCUUCGGGAG
rnacentral:rRNA from 1 species